UAUGUCAUAUUUCUAUAUGCUCGUGCAUGUUCAGCUCUACCUCUCUUGAAAUGCUGCCCAAACCCCAGCAAUGUUUACAUAAGUAAAAGGGAGUCUCACUUUUAUGCUGUAAUUUCUGCAUGGAGCAGAGUUUUCCCAGCCGUACCUUACACUUUGUUCAUAGGUGAACUUUUCUUUUUCUAAUGUGACGGUUUUAUCCAGCUUUGACAACAGAUUUCUCUAGGAGAUUACACACCUGGAAUUAACUUUUUCUGCCAAGAAUUACGGUGCACCUGGAAGAACUAAAUCAUUUUUAUCUAUGUUUCGGAAGCUUUGUGUGGGGAAAUUGCGUAUCUCGAACUUGACUUGGCUCUUGAGGAGAAGCUUAAGGCCUGGAGUCAGGUAGAUAGGUAUAUGCUGGUGCUGCGGAGUGAAUACAUCCAGCGUUGACUUUUCACCGGCCAAAUGCUCACUCCCUGACCAGCAUCUCCCUGAGCACCUCACUUCUUAAAUGACCCCGCGUGCUGCAUAACACAUGGAAAUGAGACGUCGGACCCUACACCUACCAUGUGUGGUUGGCAUCAUCCGCACUUAAACAAGGAGAAGGAUGGAGAAGGAUUUUUAGAGAUUUCUUUCCUUAAGAUGUUUGCAACCAGAUGAAAUAUUUUGAGAUUGGGAAAUACUUUCUGCAAUCCUUUGGAAAGAACUGAUUUCUAGUUUUAUCCUGCGAAACUCUCACUGAAAGCGCUGCGUAAGACAGAGCAAACUCCUGUCCCCACAGGUGCCUGCCAAAUAAAGUAACGAGGUGUUCGCA